rnacentral:lncRNA from 1 species
GAGGCAAAAAACGUGGUAGGGGAACCGACUUGACUAAAUGUGCUGAAAAACCAUGCUUGGAUCACUUGGCUAUCUGGAUUCAGCGGCUGUACAUCGUGUGUUCUCUGAGGGAACUUGUACUUGGAACAAAGUAAGAGCUGACCAGAUAACAAUAGUUUCUGGAGUUCGUUCUUAUGGGAUCGAAAGGUUUCCUUGCAUCCUUCAGUUACUAUCGCGUGGAGAGAUCACAUUGUGGUUUCUUUUCAUGAGGGGGUGAUAGUCGUUCAUCCAUUUCAAUCGGUUCGCUUGCGUUUGAAGCUUCGAUCAGGGUCUGUCCAGGGGAAAUUUGCUUUGUAGGACUUCCGACACCGUUUCGCGCAGGAUGGUAUCGGUCACUGGUGUUCUGUUGGAUUCCGUAAUUGAGGUGUUGGAUACGUCGCCCACUUGAUGGCCUGGUUGUGGCAGGAAUUGGCUGUUCAUGCAGUGCAUUGGUUUUGCUUAUUUUCGGCGAAUUUGGCUGUGACACUUUUUCGUUUAGAUUGUACAUUUCGUCGGCUGACUUUGGUCAGUACAUCGUGCGGGUUUUUUGGUGUUAUUUUCUGUACUCAAAGCCUCAAAAUAUACAUGUAAAGAAUGAAAUUUAUAGAAAUGGUUUUGGUCAACCAUGUAAGAUUUUUCUGCAACUGUCGAUUUCAUUUUAAAGACAAUUUUAAUUGUAGUAGUUGCAGAUUUUAUAUGUGUGCUUAUGGAAUACAUAUUGAAUUUUUAUAUAUA